rnacentral:rRNA from 1 species
GACGAACGCUGGCGGCGUGCUUAACACAUGCAAGUCGAACGGAAAGGCCUUGUCGGUGGGACUCGAGUGGCGGACGGGUGGGUAACACGUGGGUGAGCUGCCCUGCACUCUGGGAGAAGCCUGGGAAACUGGGUCUAAUACCGGAUAGGACCGCACUCUAGUGUGUGGGGGGGAAAGGGUUUUCGGUGUGGGAUGAGCCCGCGGCCCAUCAGCUUGUUGGUGGGGGAAUGGCCUACCAAGGCGGCGACGGGGAGGCGGACUGGGAGGGUGGGCGGGCACGGUGGGACUGAGAGACGGCCCCGACUCCUACCGGGGGCAAGAGUGGGGAAUAUUGCCCAAUGGGGGCGAGCCCGAUGCCGCGACGCCGCGUGGGGGAAGACGGCCUUCCGGUUGUAAACCCCUUUCGCCAGGGACGGAGCGUUUUGUGACGGUACCUGGAGAAGAAGCACCGGCUAACUACGUG